CUUCCUCAACACACAUUAAGUAGUGAAGUGUUAGUUAACAUAGUAACAUGCAUGCACGUUGGAACACUUACGAGCCAUUCUGCUUUCUGUCUUCUUUCGGCUUCACCAGAAGGGAAAGUUGAUGUGGAUAAUCUGGAAGCUGUUUUAGAAGCCCUGAACAUCAAGCUCACAGAAGAGGAGAUUGACAUGAUAAAGGAUUCUCUGAAAAGUGGCAAAAGCAAAAUUGACCUGAGAAAACUGAUGGAUAAAAUAGAAUCUAUUUCAGGUAAGAAGAAAGUUAGUAAACAGACGUGUUUGUAAUUUCCUUUGUAGUAAUCUGGCUUUAUUCUUGAACUAGACGUUUUUGAGAGAACACCAAGAAAUAAAAAUAUACUCAAUCUUAG
rnacentral:lncRNA from 1 species